rnacentral:rRNA from 2 species
AGGGAAUAUUGCGCAAUGGGGGAAACCCUGACGCAGCGACGCCGCGUGAGUGAUGAAGGCCUUCGGGUCGUAAAACUCUGUCCUUAGGGAAGAAACCAAUGACGGUACCUAAGGAGGAAGCCCCGGCUAACUACGUGCCAGCAGCCGCGGUAAUACGUAGGGGGCGAGCGUUGUCCGGAAUUAUUGGGCGUAAAGGGUGCGUAGGCGGCCUUUUAAGUCAGAUGUGAAAGACCACAGCUUAACUGUGGAACCGCAUCGGAAACUGUCGUCCUUGAGUAUCGGAGGGGAAAGCGGAAUUCCUAGUGUAGCGGUGAAAUGCGUAGAUAUUAGGAGGAACACCGGUGGCGAAGGCGGCUUUCUGGCCGAAAACUGACGCUGAGGCGCGAAAGCGUGGGGAGCAAACA